CCAGGGGAGAAUAGCUGAAGGCAGCUGUUUUAUAAUCCUGAGACAGAGGAGAAGGAGUAGAUACAAGGGAGUGUGAGGGAAUUUAUCUUAAACAGACUUCUUUACAUAUUUACUUGUGUUCACCAGGAACUGACCUUUGAUCAUCUGCAUGACGUUCUCUGAAAGGGGAACAAUAUAUGUUAAUUACCUGCAGGUUGUGUUGGCUCCAGGUUGUCAGCAUUGUGCCUGCAUGGAAUAAAAGCAAGCAGCUCCAGUUUUUUGGAUUGCACUCUGGCCACUAGAGCUGGGCAAUCCCCUAGCUGCUCUUACACUGCAUACCUGUGUCUCAGUACUCAUUUCAACUGUCUGCCAGGAUCUGUGGGACAGACCCAGCAGGUGGUGCCCCAUGUAAGAAGCAAUGAAAUGCAUCAUGAUGGAACCCUCAAAAACGAAAGUGAAGUUACUGCACACCCCUUAGGUCCUCUUUGGAUUCCAGCAUGAUGCAUCAAACCUUACCACGGCAUGACUAGGGCCCAACCCGGUACCAGAAAUAAAGGAAAUGACGAUGCAGAACCCACAACCCUGGAUGAUGUGGCUUCCUUGGAUGACACAGGCCCCAGACAUUACCUGGGGAAUGCUGAAGAACACAACUCAGGAGGCUGAACAAAUCUGCUUCAGACACAGAUACCAUUCAAUCCAUAUAAUUUGUUCUUUGCUAUGCUUUUUAUUCCACAUUGCAACUCUUAUGGAAUACUGAUUCUUCUUAUUCUCUCUUUUUGCCUGCAACCCACACCUGCUAUACACUAUUGGGCCCAUCUUCUAGAUCUGCCUUUCUUACCGCCUUUUACUUGGGAAGAUACCCCCUUCUCAGCCUCUGACAAUGUGACCAAUUGGCUGGGAGGUAUUGACAUACCCCCGGUGGGGGUCCCUCAGUAAUGGCACACAUUGGACUCAGGUGCCAAGUAACAUUACAUAUCAAUCCUUGAUUGGAAAAGAAUAAUAUUGAUUAUACUCAUGUUUGUCUUAUGUUAUUUACUGGUUCUAGGGUGCAAAGCUGGAACACAAGCUGUAACCAUUGCACCAGUCAAACCUGUCGCUGCUCACAUCUGUAUGCUUCAAUCAACAAAACCUGAUGCAAAAAACAGAAAAAGGGGAGAUGUGGGAGAUUGGUCAGAGUGGUGGAAAAAGUACAGGGAAAGAACGCAAAUUUUCUGAAAUGUUGGAAGGUCCUGCAGAGCCCCAGGGGAAAAUAGCUGAAGGCAGCUGUUCUAUAACCUUGAGGCAGAGAGCAAGCAGUAGGUACAAGGGAGUGUGGAAGAAUUUAUCUUAAACAGGCUUAUUUACUUAUGUUGAUCAGGAACUGACCUUUGAUCAUUUGCAUGUGUGACAUUCCCUGAAAGGGGAACAAUAAAUGUUAAUUACCUG
rnacentral:lncRNA from 1 species